rnacentral:rRNA from 1 species
CACGUAGUUAGCCGGGGCUUCUUAGUCAGGUACCGUCAUUAUCUUUCCUGCUGAUAGAGCUUUACAUACCGAGAUACUUCUUCACUCACGCGGCGUCGCUGCAUCAGGGUUUCCCCCAUUGUGCAAUAUUCCCCACUGCUGCCUCCCGUAGGAGUCUGGGUCCGUGUCUCAGUCCCAAUGUGGCCGUUCACCCUCUCAGGCCGGCUACUGAUCGUCGCUUUGGUGGGCCCGUUACCCCGCCAACUGGCUAAUCAGACGCGGAUCCAUCGUAUACCACCGGAGUUUUUCACACCGCUCCAUGCGGAGCUGUGCGCUCAUGCGGUAUUAGCACCUAUUUCUAAGUGUUAUCCCCCGGUAUACGGCAGGUUAUCCACGCGUUACUCACCCGUCCGCCACUAACCUGUAUAUCACUAGGUUUCAAUACAGAUCCGUUCGACUUGCAUGUGUUAGGCACGCCGCCAGCGUUCAUCCUGACGCCAGAUACAAACUCU